CCUGUACAUGAUGUGCUGCCUGCUGUCCGGCGACUCUCUGACACAGGACGAUGGAUAGACCUGUACAUGAGUCUGCAUGUGUAGCAAUGUUUGUAUCUGUGUGUCUGUACAUCUGUAUGUGUGUCAGUGUUUGUAUCUGUGUAUCUGCAUGUUUGUCAGUGUGUGCAUCAGUGUGUCUGUGCAACUGCAUGUGUGGCAGUGCUUGUAUCUGUGUGUCUGCGCAUCUGUAUCUGAGUCAGUUUUUUUUAUUGUGUCAGUUUUUGUAUCUGUGUACCUUUGUGUCAUUUUGUGAGUGUUUGAAUCUGAGUGUCUGUGCAUCCGCAUGUGUGUCAGUGUUUGUAUCUGUGUGUCUGUGUGUGUCUUUUCAAC